rnacentral:rRNA from 1 species
CCUACGGGCGACAGCAGUCGAGAAUCAUUCACAAUGGGGGAAACCCUGAUGGUGCGACGCCGCGUGGGGGAAUGAAGGUCUUCGGAUUGUAAACCCCUGUCAUGUGGGAGCAAAGUAAAAAGAUAGUACCACAAGAGGAAGAGACGGCUAACUCUGUGCGAGCAGCCGCGGUAAUACAGAGGUCUCAAGCGUUGUUCGGAAUCACUGGGCGUAAAGCGUGCGUAGGCUGUUUCGUAAGUCGUGUGUGAAAGGCGCGGGCUCAACCCGCGGACGGCACAUGAUACUGCGAGACUAGAGUGAUGGAGGGGGAACCGGAAUUCUCGGUGUAGCAGUGAAAUGCGUAGAUAUCGAGAGGAACACUCGUGGCGAAGGCGGGUUCCUGGACAUUAACUGACGCUGAGGCACGAAGGCCAGGGGAGCGAAAGGGAUUAGAUACCCUAGUAGUC